rnacentral:rRNA from 1 species
UACAGAGGGUGCAAGCGUUAAUCGGAAUUACUGGGCGUAAAGCGCGCGUAGGCGGCUGCUUAAGUCGGAUGUGAAAGCCCCGGGCUCAACCUGGGAACUGCAUUCGAUACUGGGCGGCUAGAGUAUGAGAGAGGGAGGUAGAAUUCCACGUGUAGCGGUGAAAUGCGUAGAUAUGUGGAGGAAUACCGGUGGCGAAGGCGGCCUCCUGGCUCAAUACUGACGCUGAGGUGCGAAAGCGUGGGGAGCAAACAGG